UCCUAUCGGAUUGCAGCAGUAAUGAAUAUUGGUCGAUUGAUGCACAGGUGGACCAGCCAUGCCGCGUGCAGGAUGACAGGCCCUAUGGGUUGUAAACUGCUUUUAUUCGGGAAUAAACCCCUUUUCGUGUAACGGGUUGAAUGUACCGAAGGAAUAAGGAUCGGCUAACUCCGUGCCAGCAGCCGCGGUAAUACGGAGGAUCCAAGCGUUAUCCGGAUUUAUUGGGUUUAAAGGGUGCGUAGGCGGCCUGUUAAGUCAGGGGUGAAAGACGGGGGCUCAACCAUCGCAGUGCCCUUGAUACUGAUGGGCUUGAUUACACUUGAGGUAGGCGGAAUGUGACAAGUAGCGGUGAAAUGCAUAGAUAUGUCACAAAACACCAAUUGCGAAGGCAGCUUACUAAAGUGAAAUUGACGCUGAGGCACGAAAGCGUGGGGAUCAAACAGGAUUAGAUACCCUGGUAGUCCACGCCCUAAACGAUGAAUACUCGAUGUUAGCGAUAUACAGUUAGCGUCUAAGCGAAAGCGUUAAGUAUUCCACCUGGGGAGUACGCCCGCAAGGGUGAAACUCAAAGAAUUUUGACGGA
rnacentral:rRNA from 1 species